rnacentral:misc_RNA from 1 species
AACGCACAUUGCGCCUUUUGGUAUUCCGAGAGGCACGUCCGUUCGAGCGUCAGUGAAAACCUUUCCGGGCCGCGCUUUCCGGAGCGCGACCGCGGGACCCUGGCGAGGGGAAGUCGGCCGCCCCGCAGCUCCCUUCGGGGAGCUCCGCGGGUUCGGUUUUUCCCCCGCUUAAACGCGGAGAAAGCUAGCGGGCAUGAUGGUCACGACCGCGGAGACUAGUAAGCAUUACGCACCUGUCAUCGACGGUAAGACCGGGCGCCUCGCCUUCCAAAAAAAUUCGUGGGAAGAGAGGGACAAAGCAAAACUUUCACCGGUUUUUGCCCCCCCUCCUCCUCCCCGAACCUGACUCUUGACCUCGAAUCGGAUGAGGAUACCCGCUGAACUUAA